ensembl:lncRNA
GUGAUCAUUUAGGAGACCACAAGUAGAGCUGUUUGUACCCCAGCCACAGGAGAACACAUGUCAGGGAAGGAGCUUUCUCUGCCAAGCCAGCUGUCUGACAGCCAGUGAGAGUUCCUCUGUCUUGUAGCUGGGGUCCCUGUCACUGUCAGAGGUGAGCCUGACCCUGUGAUGGUAGAAGCACCCAUCCAAGGAGCCUGCUCAGCCUGGGCUCCUGUUUGCCAAGUCCCUGACCUGACUGCAGCAGCUGUAUUUGUUCAACCUUCCAGAUCAUCACUAAUUUUCCUUCAGCGUGAAGGGGAGCACCUACAGACAUUCCCACUUGUGAUCUCUGUGUGUUAUGGAUGUACCCAUACUGGCAGAAGAAAUUUCAGUGAAAAGUGCCAAAUUACAAGCCUUGGGAAAUGGAGGAAGAUUUCUUCCAAUGUUCCAAAUGGAUAGCAAAAGUAUGUUUCUUAUGGCCUUUUUAAAAUGAAAACAGAAAUAGGAUAUUCCUUAUUCUGGCAAGGUAGACUGCGACUAGCCAUGGGAAAUAUGGAGCUUUCAGGACUUAAAAACUUAUUCCACUCAUUUUUGGUAGAGCUGUUUUAAGCAAUGGAACCUCUCUUCUAGGAUUGUCUGUACAACCCCAUUUGCUGAGCUCUGCCCUGCGGGGUUCUUUGUGUGACGGUGUGAAAAUGCCUUGCUGAAGUUGACCUCUGCUCUGGAAAGCACCCUCUCUCUGAAGCCGUGAGGUUUUGGAACCCUCUGUGCAGACUGUCAGGGGAUAAUGGCUUCAGUAGCACUUAUGGAAUGACUUUAAAAAUUGUCCCUCAGUCAUUUUUGUAGCCACUCUAUGUAAACACCAAUAAAACCUUUCAGCCAUCCUAUAUAACUAUAACAUGUCUGUAUGGUAGCUGUAAAUGCUGAUUGGGAUCUUAGCACAAAAUUUUUGCUGACACACAGAUCCAAAUAUGUCCCUCCUAUGGAAAAGUAUCAAAUAUCAUAAAGACACUUGCAAAUCCAGCAGCCAGUAGCCCGUAUUUAUUGAUGAUUUGGCAUCUGUUUGUUAAACAUACGCACAAGCGUUGAACAAAGACUGCCUGAGGGGUCCCCAGAUCGACACAGCCAGCGCAGCUGCUUCUGGUUAAAUGACUUCAGCGGUUUAAAGCCAUAAAGGAGAACCGAGUGCUGUAGUACACUGAGACACCAGUAAGGGGAACCCUUUUUGCAGUAAACCUUCAAGCUUUUACUGCUUUGAUGGAGCCGGUGGUCAUAAAAAUAACGUGACAUUUUGGUUCCAAAAAAAUUAUGUUUAAUCAGAAGACGAACAGAUAUAAGCAGUUUAAAACGAAAUCUGAAUUACGGUUUCAAAUCUACUUUUAUUUUUCACUUCUCAAUGAAAUUGAGUAGGAAGUGUGAAUGGACCUACACAAGGAAGGCAUUAACCCUUACAGGAAUGUAAAAGAAAAGAAGAAGAGUUGAUUUUGACAACUGGCUUUAAAAUAAUAUUAAUCAAAUCACUCCAGUAAAGUGGCUGUCUUCAGGCAUCGUUUUAGCAACAAAAACAAAUGGUGGAUUUAUUGCUUGAAAUAAUGUCAUCAUAAGUAAAAUUUCAUCUAUGGACAAGUCUUCUCACUUCAAAAAUGUAAUUUUGAAACUCAGGCAUUAGCAUUCUAAUAUUCUCAAAAGUUAUAGCUUUCGGUAAGCACACAGAUGAAUUUUAGUGGUGUAAAUACUGUAGGAAAACUCCUGAAACCAUUGUAAUUAAUCUGCGUUGCUGUACAAUAGAUGUUAUGUCAGGAGAAAACAAGCAUGCAUGUGGGUCUGUUUACUUAAUAUGCAAAAUCUUUACCAUUCUUUAACUGUUGUAGUAGGUAUAUUUUUAUAUUGCCUAGACAGAGAAACAUGUUUUAGAGGGUUGAAUGGAAAUCCAGUAUUUACAUGGCUAAAUAACCUCACUAUGGUUUUUCUUACCUCAAAUGAGCAAUUCUGGAAGUGAUGUGAUUAAUUGGUCUGAAGGAUCUCCUCUUCCAGUCCAGUGUAGGCAUUACCAUUACAGCUGACCUGGGAAAACUUCUGUCUGCUCAGGUUUAUUUUUUCUCUAUGAAGUAGCAAGUAACUUUAUGUAACCACUGAACAUACAGAUUCCAUGCACCCAUAAGAUCUCUAAAUAAACACCACUGUAGAUCUAUGCCAAAAUCUCUGCUGUGCCUUCUCAAAUGGCCUUCACUCCAGACUGCUAAUUAGCCUCUCUCUAACUUUGAAUACUCCAUAAAUGCACUCUACUGAUUGAUAGUGCAUCAAUAUUAAUUAAUAAUUUACCACGUUGUUGGAAUUUUCCUCUACAUGUAAUCACAGCUACAGCUCCUUCUAAACCUUUCUUUAGUAAAAAAGGAGGAAAAUAAUUUUACUGCUUUCACCCUAUGUUGUUUAAUUUCCCCUUUGGUAUAUCUGCAAAUAUUUGGAACAGCAUGUCUUGGAUACUCCUGAAAAUUUGCUUCGUUGAUACAGCAGUGUAGUUCCAUCUCACAAAGUGUGCUGCUGCUGCUGCUCCUAAUUGGAGCUGCUGUGGCGUGCUUCAUGUUUUAUUUAUUCUCCCACUAUGUAUGUGAAGUGCUCCAAAGGAUCUGUACUCUGUUAGGAUCUGCAAGUCUGGCUUUCACAGACCUGUUGGCUCUCCCACUCAGACCCAGGGGCAGAGGGAUGUGCAGCAGGAGAGGAGCUCUGCCCAGGUGGCCAGGAGCUUGUCACAGUCAUGGUUCUGCCAAGAAGGCAACUUGUUCAGAGUGUAGAUAGUGAAAAAUUCACACGGACGUUUUUGAAGCCAUCUAUGAUUUUUAUCACCAUCAAAAGUAAUGUAAUUCAUAACAGAAAUAACUUCUUUUAAGUGUACUUUAUUCUAAUAAAGCAACAGGUGCUCCCUAGGUGGCCCAGAGUAGCCCAAAUGCAUUAACUGCAUUUUCACACUGAUCAUGAAUCACUUCCUAAACACAUCUUUGUUUCAUGGAAGUCUAUUUGUAGUGCCAUAUAAUCAAUUUUCUGUAAAAAUUAUUCCCUAAAAUAUUACAUUCAGGCCAAUAUCUGCUUUUUAAUUAAGAAGUCUCAACACAAAGGAAAGCCAGACCUGAGAGAUGAGUGAUUAAAAAGAAAAAAAUAUACAUUCCAACUGCAUUUGGAUGUAGUGUGCUGUCCAGUCAUUCAACUAAUCUUAUCUCCGUAGUCUCCCUUUUGUGGAGAAGACCUGAUGAUUUGCAAUUCAUUCUUGUUGCAAUUCAUUCCAAUUGCAAUUCAUACUGUUCAAAGCUUAUACAAUAAUUCUCUUUUCCAGGUGGCUGUCAGCACCUGCAAUGUUGCUGAAACAUCCCCAAAAGAAACUGCCUUUGCCCAAGACAGUAUGAAUCUGCAGGUUUUGGUGACAAGCUUGCAUUGAUUUUGUUUGUGCUGCUUCUCUGUUUUCUGAAUGAGAAACUAGUAGACAGGACCAGGCACGCCAAAGUAAAACCUUCCUUAGAGUAAUUCUUCCAAUUCUUAACUCUUUAAAUAUGAUAAAUUGAGUGUACGCUCCUAAGCAGUGUUCAAAAUACAUACAUAUAUAUGUAAUUGACAUUAAUAUUUUAUCUUCAAGGACAACCUCUUUGAAAGACAAGAGCAGCCAUUCUGGUCUGCAAAAGCCUGACUGAUCUGGCAAGAUAAAUAACUGUGUGAAUGUAGGGAGAGCGCUUCACUAUGUUCACAGGGAUGCUCUCCUCGGGGACCUGGGCUGAAGCUGGGGCUGGCAGGGACCUCAGGGUUUCAGUGCAGGCACCAGCAACUCCUUGCAAGUAGGACAAAAUAGUCCCAGGCCACCACAGGGACCGGACAGGGGAGCAGGGCUGCAAAAAGAAAGGUCUGAAGAUCCCAGCUGACAAGAAGCUGAAAAGCAGACAGCAGUGUGUUUUUGUGCUAAGUAAGGCCAACAACAUACUGUUGCCUUCAUAGCAAGAUUUUAGCCACGUGCACAAGAGCGGUGAUUGUUCCCACUCCGUCAGGGUGGGUGCCUCGUGUUCUGGGUGUUCUGGAUGUUGGCAUGCUGGAAUGAGCCCAGCAGAGCCCACCAGGGUGGCCUCUGGAGCACCUGGUAUACAAGAGUAGAGGCUGAGGGUUUCCUUUAGCCUUAAGGAAAGAACAGGGAGAGGGGGUGUUAUUGCUGCCUAGGACAAUCAGAGACUGUGGAGAAGACAGACUCUUCUCAGAGGCACGCAGUGAUAUGACCAAAAGGCAACAAAUGCAAGUUGUGAUGAAUGAGAAUUUUGCUAGCUGUAAAAACAAAAAAAUUCAUUGUGAGGGUGGUUAAACACUGGAGUAGAGGCUCAGAGAGGCAAAGUCUCCUUCCUUGGAGGCAGACAAAUCUUGACAAGACAAGGCCCUGAGCAAACCCAUCUAGUUGGACCUGUUAUGAGUAUGAGGCUGGAUCAGAUGGUGUCCCAGAGGUCCCUCCAACUUGAACUGUUCCAUGAUUCUGUGAUAUUGUAACAAAUUCCUGACUAAGUAUUGGCAGAAUCAGUCGAUAUUACUCUGUUAGAGCCAUUUACAAGGCAUUUUGUCACAGAUCUAUCUGUCUCCAUACUAUAGAUUAAUGAUGUUUUCAUUAUCAGGCUAUGUCUUAUAGGGGAAGCAGUUAUCUCUAAAAUGCACUCUAUUUUUUAAAAUGAGAAUCAAAACAAAUAGGCCAAGAAUAGGCUCUAGCUUUAAUGUUAAUUUCACUAGAGACAGUGAGGAUGAACUCAGCCUAAAAUAUUUUUCCAGUCAAAGCAGAACAGGACUGCACAGUGAGAGCAAGCCCGUCAACAUUGCCAGCAUAAUCAGCAUUCAGGACUUCAUCUUAAAAUAUCCAUUUGAUAAAGUGUGGGUAUUGUAGGUUGACAUGAUAUUUUGAAUGAGCUUUAAAUGGUGUCAGAGAUCUCUUCCUUUGUCCAUUUGUGCCAUAUCCCCAUAGAGACCUCACAGUGUUGAUACAUCACAGCAUUGGUACAUCUAGUGACUAUCUAAUUUCCAGUUAGUGCAGUGCUGCACUGCAGAAAGUAAGUUACCUUCCCAGGACUGUAGGUUUCAAGGAAGAAAGAUAAUGAAAUGUAUUAAGAAUGUAGGUUAGUGAUCAGGUCUCCUCUGCAUCUUGAGGUAACAACAUGCUGCUUCUGGGCCAAAGCAGGAAUAUAAUCACUACAGUGAUGCUGGAGAAACUCUGUCAUCUCUCGCACUGGGCUGAAGACAGAUGACCAUAUGUAUCAGGCUGCUGAGUAUGAAAUUCUCCCUGGUCUUAAGAUAUCCUAAGACUUGGACAUAAUAGGAUUUGAUAAAGAGAAAAUCCUCUGACAGAAAACACACUGUCAGUUCCAGACUCCCCUGUAUGCCCAAAGAAGGUAGGAAGUUUUGCCUCUUAACAUUAACAUAAAAUUGGUAAUCUGUACAGGAAAUACACCAAAAGAAAAAAAAAAAAAAAAAAAAAAAAAAAAAAGUA